GGGAGCGCACAACCGGUGGAGCAUGUGGUUUAAUUCGAUACAAAGCGAAGGACCUCACCUGGGUUUGACAUGUACCUGCACGCCUCUGGAAACAGGGGAAGCCUACGAGGGUGGUACACAGGUGUUGCAUGGCUGUCGUCAGCUCGUGUCGUGAGACGUCCGCUUAAGUGCGGUAACGAGCGCAACCCCUGCUGCGUGUUAAAUAUUCACGCGGGACUGCCUUACAGCAAGUAGGGAGGAAGGAGGGGACGACGUCAAGUCAGCAUGACCCUUACACCCAGGGCAACACACAUCCUACAAUGGGAAGGACAACGGGUCGCGAAGCGGCAACGCUGAGCUAAUCCUAAAAACCUUCUCUCAGUUCGAAUUGAGGGCUGCAACCCGCCCUCAUGAAGUCGGAAUCGGUAGUAAUCGCAGGUCAGCAGACUGCGGUGAAUACGUUCUCGCUCCUU
rnacentral:rRNA from 1 species